rnacentral:rRNA from 1 species
AAGCGUUAUCCGGAUUCACUGGGUUUAAAGGGUGCAUAGGUGGGUUGGUAAGUCAGUGGUGAAAUCUCCGAGCUUAACUUGGAAACUGCCAUUGAUACUAUCAGUCUUGAAUACCGUGGAGGUCAGCGGAAUAAUGUCAUGUAGCGGUGAAAUGCUUAGAUAUGACAUAGAACACCAAUUGCGAAGGCAGCUGACUACGCGAAUAUUGACACUGAUGCACGAAAGCGUGGGGAUCAAACAGG